rnacentral:misc_RNA from 1 species
GAUGAAGAACGUAGCGAAAUGCGAUAAGUAAUGUGAAUUGCAGAAUUCAGUGAAUCAUCGAAUCUUUGAACGCACCUUGCACCCUUUGGUAUUCCGAAGGGUAUGCUCGUUUGAGUGUCAUUGUACUCUCACACUUCUAAUUCCUUUCGGGAUUGGGAGCGGUGGACCUGGGUGUUGCUGCUUUAGUUGUGGCUCACCUCAAAUAAGUUAGUGCAACUCUUGGUUGGACAUAGUACGGCGUGAUAAGUGUCUUCGCCGGCGCCUCUGUAAGGAGGGUGGCCGAUCGGGAGCUCUGUGCUUCAAACCGUCUUCGGACAAUCUUUGACAACUUGACCUCAAAUCGAGUAGGACUACCCGCUGAACUUAAGCAUAUCAAUAAGCGGAGGA